CUCAAUCGAAGCAUCCCUGACAGAUGGCCAUCUAACCUCUGCUUAAAGAUCUCCAAAGAAGGAGACUCCACUGUACUCCAAGAGCAUAAUCUGUCCUGGAAGCACUGAUUCCCUUCUAUUCUCUUAUUCAUCCAACCUUUACUGUGAGCACAAACAGCUAUCUCUCUUGGAAUUUAGGAACAGAAGCCUGAGACUCCUCCAGCAGAAUAAAGAGGAAGUUGGAUGCCAAGCAGCUCACCUGUGAAUUCAGGGAGACAUCCCUGUAGACUGACAGUCACUGGACCCUACACUGGUUUCUGCUUUUUAGAAGAAUCUCUCCCUUGCAACUGCAUCUGCCCUACUUCCACACCUUGCUUGUUCUCAAAGAAAAAAAGUCAUGCAUCUUCCACAAGGAAUUCUAUGAGCUUUUGCCUUUCCAUUAAACCACACUGAAAACAUAA